UUUCGUUUGAAUCACUUUUUUUUUUUUGAAGAUCAAAAAGUUUUGAAGUUCAAAUUUUUUCGAUUGAAUCAUUUUGGAACAAACGUACUGUGGUGGGCGGGUGCUUCUCUAUUGGUCAGACAUGUUUGAUUGACAAGUGUCUACACCGACGACGUCUUUCUGACAAAGAAGUCAUGUUCGCCACUCCCCAGGCCAGACAGCUUUUUACCAGCAAGCCAGGGAGCAGCGGUGAAGUUCUCGGGCGGAGUGGCAGACCAUCUAUUGUUACCAGAGAGCACAUAGACGUACUUAUGAAGCAAGGACAUACAAUAAAAAAAAGGCAAAAAUGAUCGGAUGUUCCUCGUCGUUUUUGAACAACAAAUCAAAGCUGGUGGACCUACGCAUAAGAGGAAAACUGUCUGCCUUAGAUGACAAUCAGCUGCAAGAGCGUGUGAGCACAUUGCAGGACCAGUAUCCAAACUCUGGGAAUGAGAUGAUAAGGGUGCUGCUUCGUGCUCAAGGUGUGAUUGUCACACGGGCCAGGGUACGCUAAAUGUUGGGAUGGACAAACCUGACAUCUGCUGCAAGAGUUUCGGUCUUUUGAGUUGGAGGAUUUUUCACCCUCCUCAUCCCCGGCGGUGUAGGAAGGUUUUUGUGGAGCCAAGCAGGCCAGACUCUGAUCAAUUUGACCUGCUGGCUCAAGGCCCUGACUCAGUGAAGCCACAGCCUGGCGCUGCAGAGUCAAAUGGUGGACAGAAUUGGUCCUGUAUAUAUUAUCAUGUAUCAGAAUCAACAUAUAUUUCCUGCUUUAUAACCCAGGCGGGAUCACUGGCAGCUUUGUGCAUAAUGAUUCAUUUGUAAUGUGGACACAGCCCCAGAUCACCCUCUCUGUAUCGUCUCAAACAGCAGGCAGAUACCGCAGAUCGCCCAUGUCCAAUGUCCAACCUAGAAUCAACAUCACAGUCUCACAGCAGCCCCUUGCCGGCCGCCUCAAGACACUAACUGCAGAACAAUUGAUUGCUUUCACAUACACUCCCCAACAACACAUAAAAAGUUGGUAAAUUUGUUUUUUGAAGAUAAAAAAGGUCGCUAGAGAGUUUGAAAAGUGCAAUAGUGCUCUCUAUGGAGGCACAAGAAGAUGCUCUAUUUUUUUGUUUUGUUUUUUAAGACUGAGCUGGCUUUUAUAGUCCUGAGCAGCCAGGGGACCAAUGUCACACACUCAGAUUUACGUUGCACGUGCAGAAACUAAUGUUAAUUUGAAAUUCAAUGCAAGAAGUUUGACCCUAGGAAGGCGCCAUACUGAGUUUUGGACACAAAAGCCGGAUUUCAACAAAUAUGCAUUAUAAUUUUUCAAAAAUAAUGACCAGGAUAUGUAGAAAGUACUAUAAAACAACCAUGUUAAGAGUUUAUUGGCAACAAACAGCUGAUUUGGGGAAGAGUUACACUUUAACAGAAUUUAGCAACCUAGACACCAGGCUUUUCCAUAUUUGUUAAGCCUCCUAUCUGGGAUACCCUCCAGGUUGAUAUCAGUAGCUCUUUAAGUUCUAUUGUUGAGUUAUUGUGCUCUGAAUUGCUUUUUACAGAAAAUUAUCAAAUGAAACAAUAUAGUGACCUUGAGUGUUUUUCCAGCAAUGAAUAUAUAACUUUGUCUUUUUGAAGAUUGAUAAUGUUGAUUUUUAGCACUAGGUGAUAACGUGUUUCAAAUAUUUGCUGAUAUACUAAUUCAAUUAUUCAUAAUUUCAGCAAAAAAUGUUGAAACCGUUGAUUUAUUUCUAAUACGGGUUUUCUGAUCAUUAUCGUAUAUUGUCUCCAGGUAGGGGGUUGUAUCCUUAUUUUAAGUACUAAUUUUAUUUUGUGUUGUUUCAACUUUCUAGAUGGGGCUUUGUGAUACAUGGUGCCAUCGAUGGACACUCGUGUCGGAUUACCUCAGCUGCAGCAUAAACAAUAGGGCAACAACAGUACUCUGUCAGUUUUUGAAAGCAACAUCUUACUAUGGACUACCAUCAAGAGUCAGAUCAGACCAUGGGGAUGAAAACAUGCUGCUUGCUUUAUGCAUGCAUCUAGUUCAAGGGCUGGAACACAGAGGCUUCAUAACAGGACAAUCAGUUCAUAAUCAGCGCAUAGAACACCUUUGGCAGGAUGUAUUUUUGCAUGUGCUGCAGCAUUUCUACCAUACAUUCUACUGUCUGGAGGACGCAGAGAAUCUUAACCCAGAUAAUGAUAUCCACAGACUUUCUUUACAUAUUGUAUAUCCACCUGAGAUUCAAAGGAGGCUGGAACAGUUCAGACAGGCUUGUACCACCAUGGUUUGCCCACAGAAAGUAAUCAUACAGCAGCUCGUCUGUAAUUCUCAUUCAGAAUACAUUUGACAAUUAUUGACAUUUAAUCAUUCUUUUGCACAUUGCCAUUAUCACUUUAUUUUAG